CCUGGUUGAUCCUGCCAGUAGUCAUAUGCUUGUCUCAAAGCUUAAGCCAUGCAAGUGUAAGUUCACGCCACGCUUUAGAACGGGCGAAACCGCGAAUGGCUCAGGAACCGGACCUAAUCCUCGGGACCGUAAUCCUCCUCGGAGGCGAUGGAUAACUGUGGCAAUUCUAGAGCUAAUACAUGUGACACAAGCCGCGAUCGGUCGUCACGUCGUGGUCGCCUCGCCUCGCGCGCUGGCACCCGUGGCGGCCGUCUUGGGUCGCGGCGCUACAUAUUAGACUGAGACCGAUGCGCGAUUCCCGGCCUCCCGUGCUGUGCGUUCCCUCGCGGUUCGUAUGGCCGGGACCAAAGGUCGGCGCGCUCCGCUUUGGUGACUCUGGAUAACUCACUGGUCGAUCGCACGGGCUUCCACGCCCGGCGACGGGUCCCCCGAGGGUCCGCCCUAUCAACUGUCGACGGUCGGUUAAGUGCCUACCGUGGUUACUACGGGUAACGGGGAAUCGGGGUUCGAUUCCGGAGAGGGAGCAUGCGAAACGGCUACCACAUCCAAGGAAGGCAGCAGGCGCGCAAAUUACCCACUCCCGGCACGGGGAGGUAGUGACGAAAAAUAACGACGCGGGACUCUGUCGAGGCCCCGCGAUCGGAAUGAGUACACUUCAAAUCCGUUAACGAGGACCAACCGGAGGGCAAGUCUGGUGCCAGCAGCCGCGGUAAUUCCAGCUCCGGUAGCGUAUAUUAAAGUUGUUGCGGUUAAAAAGCUCGUAGUCCGAACUCGGGUUCGUGGUCGCUCGCGCGGCCCCGGGGCGGCGGCGCCAUCGUCCAAGUUGACUUUGGUCGUCCGUUCGCAUUCCCGGCCCUUUCCGCCGGUGUCGACCGCUGUAUGUCGGGGUUGGGUGGCAGUCGGUGAAAACCGGGUUCGCUCGGCCUUAGCCGGCCACGCGCUCAUCCCCGUCGGCGGUCUCUCCUCCAAGGGUGCUCUUAACCGAGUGUCCGCGGCGGCCGGUACGUUCACUUUGAAAAAAUUAGAGUGCUCAGAGCGGGCUGUUCAAGCUUGCAUACGAUAAGCAUGGAAUGAUGGAAGAGGGCCUCGUCUACGUCUGUCGGUCUCCGUCUACGGCGAGGCAAUGAUCGAAGGGAGCGGUCGGGGCCACUCGUAUUGCGACGUUAGAGGUGAAAUUCUUGGAUCGUCGCAAGACGAACUGCAGCGAUGGCGUGUGGCAAGCACGUUUUCCUCGAUCAAGAGCGAAAGUCGGAGGUUCGAAGACGAUCAGAUACCGUCGUAGUUCCGACCGUAAACGAUGCCGACCGGCGAUCCGCCGGCGUUCGCUUCCAUGACCCGGCGGGUAGCCUGCGGGAAACCAGAGUUCGGUUCCGGGGGGAGUAUGGUUGCAAAGCUGAAACUUAAAGGAAUUGACGGAAGGGCACCACCAGGAGUGGAGCCUGCGGCUUAAUUUGACUCAACACGGGAAAACUCACCCGGUCCGGACACCGGUAGGAUUGACAGAUCGAUAGCUCUUUCUCGAUUCGGUGGGUGGUGGUGCAUGGCCGUUCUUAGUUGGUGGAGCGAUCCGUCUGGUUGAUUCCGAUAACGAACGAGACUCCGGCCUGCUAACUAGUGCGCCGAUGUGAGUGCGUCGCUCCCUCGCGGGCGUCGUGUGCGGGCCUCCGUGGACCGGCCUUCCUUAACCGGGGGUCGCGUUCUCGGGUCCGGGUCGGUUUCUCACGCACUUCUUAGAGGGACGGGUGGCAGAAAGCCACACGAGGCGGAGCGAUAACAGGUCUGUGAUGCCCUUAGAUGUCCGGGGCCGCACGCGCGCUACACUGGAGGUAUCAGCGGGGACUUCGCCCCGGCCCGAGAGGGUCGGGAAACCUCUCAACCACCUCCCGUGAUAGGGAUCGGGGCCUGUAACUAACCCCGUGAACGAGGAAUUCCCGGUAGGCGCGGGUCAACAGCCCGCGUCGAUCACGUCCCUGCCCUUUGUACACACCGCCCGUCGCUACUACCGAUCGAACGGUCCGGUGAGGUCCUCGGAUCUGGCCGACGACGCCGCCGGGUUGUGGUUUCGGCCGCGCCUCGGCGUUCGAUGCCUGGAGAAGACGACCGAACCCGAUCGUUUAGAGGAAGUAAAAGUCGUAACAAGGUUUCCGUAGGUGAACCUGCGGAAG
rnacentral:rRNA from 1 species